GUGUGUGUGUUUUUGUUUAUAAAUAUUUUUUUAUGUAUUUAAAAUUAUUUUUUAUAUAUACUGAAAAAUUUUAAACUAUUAGUCUCAAUUAUGAGUAACAAAAAUGCAAGUAUAGUAUCAAUGAAAUGAUCACAACCUAACAUGAAGUAAGUUUAUGUUACAAUCAUUUCAUUAACAAAUCUUUUCAUAAUUAUAUAAAGCUAUUUCUAUAAAGAUUAUAUCUACUCCAGUUAGUAAUUGCUCUACAUUAUUUAUACAAGUAGAAAUUUUAGUAGAAAUAACUAUGUAUAUAAAAUAUUGAGCAAUGAUUUUUUUUUAGCCUAACCGAAAGACUUUACUCAGUAGUAACAAUCAUCUAUCAAAAAAAAAUUAAGAAAGCGAUUGUAUGUUAAUUUAAAAAAUACAAAAGUAUUUUUUUAACUUAUAAAGAAAAGCUAUUAUAAAUAUUGACAAACCUAAAUCUUGACUAAAAAACUAAAGAGAUGUAAGAUGCACACAUAAAGUGAUUAAGAGUCUUAAAGUUAUAAACUUCAAGAAUCAGGUUAUUUUUUUAAGUUUAGCUAAUAUAUGCAAGUUUUUUAUAAUUUUUCAAAAUUGGUGUUUUAUUUAAUAUUCUUAACUAAAUACUUCAAUGUAAGUUUAUAUAUAAGAUUGAAGUGUGCAGUUUUUUGUAUUUUUUUUAAUAUCAACUUUAGAACUAUAAGUGAAACAUCACAAUUGUUUGCACAUUAGAGAAGCAAGUCCUGGAAUUAAAGAGCAAAAAUUUGCCAAAUAAAAGUUCAUCUGUUUUUAUUCAACAUUUUAUGUUAAAUAAAAUCAGAUAAAUGUUUUUCGAGAUAUUUAAAAAUGUGUAUGUAUUUUCAACAAGUUGCUAAAUAAUACAUUUUACAUAAUAAUAUGUUAUAAAUAAUACAUAAAACAUUUCUUCAACAAGUUAAAAAAGAAUUUCAUGAUGCAUUGCUGCAUUCUAUUGUUAUGAUACUCUAUUGUUAUGAUAAACUGUCAUCAAGUUAUAAGUCUAUUAGUGGAACAGCUCUACUAAUAAUGUUUUGGAUGUUCUACCAUAGUUUAAGCAAGUUGGAACUUAUGGAAAUAGAUCAUUUUAAAAAAACUUUAUUGAGUUAAUUAUAGGAACAUUAGUGUCACAUAAAGCAAAAUUCGAUUUGGUCGAUAAGUUGAAAGGCGAUCGUUUUAAGAGAAUAAUAGAAUAAAUAACUUAAUAGAAUAGCAAAAAAAAAAAACUACUUUAUUAUGUUUUUGUUUGCUUACAUUGUAAAUAAAAACAAAAUGUUUAAACUUUUAGUUAUUCAAUCAAAUCUAGACUGUUAGA